UUUAAAAAUUACAUAUAUGGUUCCCGGUACAGAUUCCUAUUGGACAACACUGAGGGAGAAUACAAGUCUUGAUUCUCAACCUAGUGUUCUCUACAUUCUAUUUUGAAAGGGAGAAUGUCAAAAGAAGUGGUCUUUGUGUCCAUGUUCUGGUGAUUGUCUGAACCUAGAAGUGUUAAGUGAAGGAGACUUGCUUCUGAAACCUUUCUGAUGUGACCAACAUCACAUUUGUAAGAAUCACCAAGUUGGAAUCACGUUUUUGGCACUAAUUCCCAGGUUAAGUCUCUGUGUCGUACAUAUGAUAUCUCAUGAUGACGGCUGGACCAGACCCCUGAUACUUUGCCUUGAAGACCUUUACUUAAUAGAUUCUAUGCCCAGUGUAGAGCUCAAUGCAGGGCUUGGACUCACGACCCUGAGAUCAACACCUGAGCUGAGAUCAAGUCAGUUGCUUAACUGGAGAGAGAGCACAUACAUCAGGGGAAGAGCAGGAGGAGAAGGAGAGGGAGAAUCACCAGGAGAUGCUGCACUGAGCUCAGAGCCCAACACGGGGACUUGAUCCCAGGACCCUGAGAUCAUAACCUGAGUUGAAAUCAAGAGUUAAAUGCUCAACUAACUGAGCCACCCAGAAAGAGACAGACACAUAGGGAGGAGAAUGCCAUGCGAAGUCGGAGACCAGAUUGGAAGGACUGUGAGCAGCCACCGGAAGCUGGGCGAGGCAUGGGACAGAUUCUCCUCAGGCUUCCACAAGGAACCUGCCAACGUCUUGAUUUCGGUCACAGAGAGACAGAGAGAGAGGGAGAGGCAGAGACACAGGCAGAGGGAGAAGCAGGCUCCAUGCACCGGGAGCCCGACGUGGGAUUCGAUCCUGGGUCUCCAGGAUCGCGCCCUGGGCCAAAGGCAGGCGCUAAACCGCUGCGCCACCCAGGGAUCCCGGUUUCCUCAUCUUUCAAGUGGAGAUCAUAGCAGAAAGCAGUCUAACCAAUACCCUUGAUUUACUAUGAUGGAGCUGAAUCCAUAGGAUUUAUUUAUUCAUGAGAGUCACAGAGACAUAGGCAGAAGGAGAAAGAAGCAGACCUUCUGUGGGAAGCCUGAUGUGGAACCCGAUCCCAGGACCUCGGGAUCACGCUCUGAGCCGAAGACAGAACUCAACCACUGAGCCACCCAAGUGUCCCCCAUUUUGACUGUUUUUAAAUGCACAAUCAGUGGUGUUAAGUUGUAUAACCUAUCCACAGAGCCCUUCUUGUUUUAUGAAACUGAAACUAUGUAUCUAUUAAAUAAUAACUCCCCGGCCCUUCCUCCCCUUGGCCCCUGGCACCCACGAUUGUAUAUUCUCUCAGAAUUUGACUACUCUCAAAGAUAUCCUGUAGGUGGGAUCAAACAGUAUUUGUCUUUUUGUGCCUGGCCUAUCUCAGUUAACUUCAAGUACUUGAGGCUCACACAUGUUGUAGCCUGGGUCAGAAUUUCCUUUCUUUUUAACGCUGAAUACUAUUCCACUGUAUGGAUAGACCACAUUUUGCUUAUCCAUUCAUCUUUUGAUAGACAUGUGGGUUGCUUCUACCUUUUGGUUGUGAAUAAUGUUGCUCUGAACAUGGGUGUGCAAAUAUC